GUUUAUUGUCUGUCUCUCUCUGUGUGCGUGAGUGUUUGUAGGGCAAGGAAGGGGAAGGACAGCUGUCAAGACUGAUCAGAGGCAGUGAGCGGUGAGAUACAGGAAGUAGCCCCGCUCUAAUCUGGUUAAGAUCUGUUGGAUCCAGAUUGAUGCUCCCUUCUCUCAGAGGAAGAAAAAACAGGCCCAUAAACGUGGGCGGCGGGUCACAAUGCUCCUCUGUGCCCCCUGACGUAUGGCAUCCUGGCACUGAUGUGCCCUGGAAAAUUCUCAGGAUGAAUAGCCGUGCCAGGGACCUUCAAACCCUCCAGACCCCGGCAUGGCGUCCUCUGGGGCUCAUGCUUGAUUGUCCGGGACUCAGCUUAACAAAAUACUGAAAGAGGGACAGCUCUAAGGACAGACCAUGAGAAAAGGGAGAGUGAACAAACAGUGGUCUGAUUGAGCAGCGGGAGGACCGGAGCCUUUUGGAUCGCCCUGGUUACUGGGAAUAACAGCCACGAGUUACAUCAGCUUUCCACCUUAACAAAGAGUAAAGUUGGGCGCCUCUAAUAGGAAAGUCUUAGUGAGUGUUAUCCUAGAAAAAGAAGGGCGGAGGGGAUGAGAAAAUAAAAUAAAACAGAGGCCAUUUGGACAUUUUAAAGCUGCAACAAAUCCAAUCCCAUAUGCCCUUUUCUAUAAAAGUGCGUGUAGUGAGUGUAGUCUAAACACUGUAUUCUCAUCUUGGGUGGUUACUCUCAUAUGGGCGGGGGAAUGCUUGAUAACAGUGCAGCUUUAAUUUAGCAAGCAGCAAGCAGGGUGUUUUUUCUAUACUAUGCUUGUAAUCUCAUCCAUGAAGCUAUGUUGCAUUGUUAAGAGGCAGCACCCCUGCAUGUUAAAUGGCCUUUGUUUGUAAUCAAUCAGCCCAAAUGUAACGGAAGCAAAGCAGGGUUCAUUACACAUCCGGCUCAGAGAAACGACACCACUCCACACAUCCAUCAGCCUCACACGCUGCGGGUCCCUGCAGCAUAACACUGGCUGGUUGAGAACGGCUCACACACGAAAAAAUGCAAACACACUCACGCAUAUACAAAUAUGGACAAAUGCACACGUCCACACACUCGCACAUUUGUCUGUGACCUACGAU